CGCACAUUGCGCCCUUUGGCAUUCCGAAGGGCAUGCCUGUUCGAGCGUCAUUAUCCUCUCUCAAACCUCGGGUUUGGUGUUGGACCGCGUUGGACCGCUUGCGGCCAACUGGUCUCAAAGACAAUGACGGCGUCCCAGGGACCCUCUUCGCACUGAGCUUUCCGGAGCACGCGUUGAGUUAACGGGCCCAGGGACCCGGUCACCUCUAAAACUUCUUAAGGUUGACCUCGGAUCAGGUAGGAAUACCCGCUGAACUUAA
rnacentral:misc_RNA from 1 species